CUGGGCUCCUCCACCUCCAGCUCAGCGUGCGGCUCCUCAUCUUGCUCCAUUGUCCCCUCGACCACAGCUUCUUCUGGAUCCACGGCCAUGAAACUGUCAUCUUCACUGUCUGAGGAGCUGGCCAUGGCAUUCCACUUCACAGCUGCUGGGCCGGGCCUAGGGCAGGCCAGGCCGAGCCGAGCCCUCACGGCAGCCGGUGCCGGAGCCGCCGCGUCGCCCGGGUGACGGCUCGCACCGGCGCCGCCAUCUUCCCUCAGCGCCGCGGCAGCCGCC
rnacentral:lncRNA from 1 species